AUUGAACGCUGGCGGCAGGCCUAACACAUGCAAGUCGAGCGGAUGAAGAGAGCUUGCUCUCUGAUUUAGCGGCGGACGGGUGAGUAAUGCCUAGGAAUCUGCCUGGUAGUGGGGGAUAACGUUCCGAAAGGAACGCUAAUACCGCAUACGUCCUACGGGAGAAAGCAGGGGACCUUCGGGCCUUGCGCUAUCAGAUGAGCCUAGGUCGGAUUAGCUAGUUGGUGAGGUAAUGGCUCACCAAGGCUACGAUCCGUAACUGGUCUGAGAGGAUGAUCAGUCACACUGGAACUGAGACACGGUCCAGACUCCUACGGGAGGCAGCAGUGGGGAAUAUUGGACAAUGGGCGAAAGCCUGAUCCAGCCAUGCCGCGUGUGUGAAGAAGGUCCUCGGAUUGUAAAGCACUUUAAGUUGGGAGGAAGGGCAGUAAGUUAAUACCUUGCUGUUUUGACGUUACCGGCAGAAUAAGCACCGGCUAACUUCGUGCCAGCCGCCGCAGUAAAAC
rnacentral:rRNA from 1 species